AGUGAAGUAAAGUAGAGCAUUCUACAGAGCACCCCAUCUGCUAGAAUCGACAUCAUACAGAUAGAACUCAGUUCGCUCAAGUCCGUCCGAGCCUUCGCCGAGAAGUUUCUUGCCAUGGAUCUUCCUCUAAACAUCUUGAUAAACAAUGCCGGCGUCAUGUACUGUCCGUUUCAACUUUCGGAGGAUGGGAUAGAGAUGCAGUUUACUACCAAUCAUGUCGGUCAUUUUCUGCUGACCAAACUUCUACUUAA